rnacentral:tRNA from 1 species
UCCUCUGUAGUUCAGUCGGUAGAACGGCGGACUGUUAAUCCGUAUGUCACUGGUUCGAGUCCAGACAGAGGAGCCA